rnacentral:lncRNA from 1 species
AUGAAAAGGAGAGGAAAAGGGGGAAUAUGUCAAGUGGAAGGGCACAACACACCGCUUGCCCGUGGAGGUGGAAGAACAAUAUUGUUGUUGUUGUUUCAGGGCAGAGCUGUCAGUGACUGUGAUUCCCCCCUCUUCUCACUCUCUCUCUCUCUCUCUCUUUUUCUCUCUCCUCCUUCCUCCUCUUUUUCUCCCCCUCCCAUCUUAUCGCAACAGAGGGAAAAGCGAUGGAGCAUUUCGUCUGCCGGAGGUGAAAAGAACUCUUCGAGUGACAAGUCGACCCCGACCCAAGACGACCAGCACUCCUGGGACAGCUUCAAGACCAUGACCCCUGAGCUGUCCAUUGUGCCGGGGGAGCAGAAGGACAGAAUGGAGCUGCACAACAAGACCACCUGGGACUCCUCGUCUGCCAACACACCUGACACGUCCGAGGGGGACUUCCAGACUGAAGUGUGAUGAGGCAGAGAAAACACACACACACACACACACACACACACACACACACACACACACACACACACACACACACACACACACACACACACACACACACACACACACACACACAGGUUCAAGCAUAGACAAACAGGUAGCCACAUGUACAUACAUAGACAGACACACCGCACUCCUCCAAACCGCUCUUCACAUCCUAAAAUCUGCUCUCUAAAGGAUGAUAUAAUUUGUUUACUGCUACAGUGGACAAGGACAAAGCAAAGACAACUGUUCUCUUCUAUAUUUUCAAACAGACUUUAAAUGAGAGAACAGGGGCUUGAAAGAGACUGGGACUGAGAAAUUUUUAAAUGGACAAAAAAACUAAAAAACUUUCUGAAAAAUGUCUUGGUUUUAUUCACUGGAAAAAAGGAUUCUCUUUCACCUGUUUGAUGAUUUGAAAAAAAAAUGAAUAUUUCUGCACCGUUCUGUUCUUUUUAUAGAGAAGAAAUCUCACUGAUGUUUGGCACACUGUUAAACCCCUUAGGCUCCCUCUCUUCAUUUCUCUCCUUCUUUCCCUUCUAAUGGAUGACGCAAGCACUCGUUUUUUCUUCUCUUUUUUUGGAGGGGUUGGGGAGGGGCAAGUAGGGAGGUAUAGAACGGAUCAUUGACAUGUGACAUCCUCUGCUGUUGCUAAGUUUCACACUCUUCUCUCGUCAUCCUUUUUCAAUGUCGUGUUUUUUCCUUUUUGUAUUGUUAUGAUUUUAGUUAUGCUGUCCUUUCUCUUUGGUUCAAUUUUUUUUAGCAACAAAAACAAUUUGUGACAAAAAAACCUUCAACUGAGUUUCCGUUGUUGUCUCAUUGUCUAUCUCUUAUAUGAAAGUCCUCUUUUAUUUUAAGCUUCCGUUCGUGCUUGUGCUGCCUUUUCCAUGCGGAAUUUUAAAGAGUGAUUUAUAACACAUCUGUGAUACGUGAGCUUGCUUUCUGAGGCAACAUGUUCUCAACGGUACACCUGUGGGAAUUGAGCGAAGGGUAUCAUCAAGAUUCACGCACAUUUCCAUCGCUCUUUUUCCAGUUCAGUAAAAAAAGUAUUUCAAAGUCUCGAAACAUUUGAAUCAAUUACAGACAUAACCAACCAAAGCUGUCUUUCUGUCAGGAGAGUGUAGCCUAUCUGAAAGUGUUGCUGUAGUAUUUCCCUUCCCUCCAUAUGGAUCCCAGGUCUUGUUAUAAGUGUAUUUCAAUUCUUCUAACUCCCACUGCUUUAGGUGCUGUAUCGAUCACUGUGCCAUGCAUCUGCUCUCAUCCCCUCAAGAAAACAGGGAAAUAAAGUAAUCUAUAGUUUCAGAUGCAAGGACCUGAGGUGCUUUUGCUACUCAGCUUGUCCGUAGUUGUCUUUGUUGUGAAUGAAAGAGAGGAAGCAAAACAAGGAAUAGGUGGAUAGUUAGGAUAGCAACUCAACCCAAACGUUCCACUUUGGUCAGAAACGCCGACAGGGCUUUUUAUGGAAAAUGUAGACGGGUAUGAAAUCAAAGUAUAUCCCCAAACAUGUUCAUUGUAUCUCUCUCUCUCUCUCUCUCUCUCUCUCUCUCUCUCUCUCUCUUCUCUCUCUCUCUCUCUCUCUCUCUCUCUCUCUCUCUCUCUCUCUCUCUCUCUCUCUCUCUCUCUCUCUCUCUCUCUCUCUCUCUCUCUCUCUCUUUCUCUGUCUCUCUUCUAUUCUUCUCUCUCUGUUUAUCUCUCUCACUCGCAGUCUGUCUCACUGUUUCUCUCACUCUCGCAUUCCUCACUCCACCAUGGAUCAUGAAAUCUUCAUGUAACGGUGUAGUCCUUUCUAUCAGCUCUCACUCAAACACAACUCGAGGAGAGAGAGAGAGAGAGAUUAAAAUGAAACGGAGGAGAGAACAGAGUAAAAGAUGCGAGGGAGACAAAGGAAGAGAUAGAGAUGAUACAGGGAGUAAAAUGGGAUAGAGGUUUCCUAUUUAGUGCACAAAAUAUGGCACUGGUCAAAAGCAGUGCACUAAAUAGGUAAUAGAGUGCCAUUUGUGACGCAGACAAAUCACUUUUGAGUUGACUAUAUAAAGUUAACUUUGGUUUCAAAAUUGGAAACAUCAGACACAAAAAAACACCCACACCUGACUAUGUUUUAAUACUACACUAUUAGAAAAAAGGUGCUAUCUAGAACCUUAAAGGGUUCUUCGGCUGUCCCCAUAGGAGGACCAUUGAAAAUCCAUUUUUGGUUUCAGGUAGAAUCAUUGUGGGUUCCAUGUAGAACUCUUUCUACAGAGGGUCUACAUGGAUUCCAAAAGAGUUCUACCUGGAACCAAAAAAAGAGUUCUCCUGUGGGGACAGAUGAAUAACCUUUUAGGGACCCUUUUUUCGAAGAGUAAAUAGCACCCUUCCACUAAUUCACUAUAUUCUUGACUCUCCACUCCCUUCACUAAGUACUGAGAGUUGGUUGGAGAGAUGAGGUGUUUUAAAGGUAUACCUCCUGCAGGGCACAUCUCCAGGGUUAGUCCUUACACACUCCUUAGCAGAUUUGCAAUACCUCCCAAUUAGACUAGGGCUGUGGACAGAAGGAUGAGAAAGAGAGAGAGAGUGCGAUAUUAAAUACAGUCUCACUGGUCUCUAGUAUAUGAGAGAAAGAGAGAGAGGAGGGAUAAAAAAGAGAACAAGCGAGAUUGACAGAACAGAAUACAAUGAGAGAAAAGAGAAUGAUAUAAAAUCAGUGAGAGAAAGAGUUAUAGAGUGAGAGUAAGGGAGAGCUAAAUAGGUAGAGAGAGAGAACUAGAGAUGGAGAGCAGCGGCGAGCUCUAACAGUAAUUAUCCAGGGGAAUGUCCUGACAUUUGUCCUGACAUUUUCCGAGGCUGCCCUCAAACCAUCUGUGUAAAGAUCCCUAAUGGUACAGCGUGGAAUACACACGCAGAUGGCAAGACAAGAGAGCCUGCCUCUCCAACCUUUACCGCUAAUCAGCUGAUAUGCAGCUCUAGCAGGAUGAAGUCGCCCCAGACGGUGAUCUAAGGUCAGUUUUGCAUUACCCCUCCCUAAUGGUUUGGGUUGGAAAUGUGGGCAGGGUAAACUGAUCUCAGAUCAUUUUCUAAUGGCUACUUAUCUCUCACUCAUCAUACAACUGUGAAGGGAAGGUUUGUGAUAGGUACUCAUGAGAUUGUAGAAUCACCUUAGUUCUCUUACACAGAGGAACGGCUGAUGGUAUCCUAAUCAUUGUUCAAUCCUAAUCUUAAUCCCAAAUGCCAGAACCAGGUUGAUAAAUACCACACUAGAGAGACAGGUAAGUGAGAGAGUGGGGACGCAACUUCUUGAAUUGACAAACUUCUACAGAUCCUCAAGAAUCACUAGUGUUUAAAUUGGUCCAUGAUCAUGUGACUGUGCCUAAAUCUGUUUCAUUCCAUCAAUCAGUGUCCACUUCCUUGGUGAUCACCUCUGAUCUUUUCUGGGCUACCAGAAAACCCAUCUGAUUGAUACAGAAGAUAACUUCUCUAAUUCUAAAGCGAUGUGUUGUGUUAGUUUGUCAUGGGCUUUUGAAAAGUUUCAGACUAUGACUAUACAAUCUGUCAACGAGAACUUCAAUCAUGAAACUUCAAAACCGUGAAUCCUGUAAAGAUUUAGUGAAUUGCACAGAUGAGGUAUUGAAAGCAGUGUGUUUGAAAUGGAUCUUCAGAGUGUGUGGUUUGAUGCAAGAAUAUGAUACAUUUGCUAAACUCUAGAUAAAUGGGAGUUUGAUAGGUGAAAGAAACAGAAACUUUGAUCUUGGACUACAGAGGUUACCCUCCAACCUACCAUGCUUGAGAUGUUGACCUAGCUUCUCAUACAACCAUCAAAGCUGUCCCACUGGUGUUACAAAAGAAAGUCCCUCCUUCCUUUUCCUCCCAUAUUCAUGUUUUUUAUACAUAAGAUUGUACAAAGUAGUCCUCUGUUUUCAUAGUGUCUUUUUUAUAUGAA